UACGGAGGGAGCUGAGCGUUGUUCGGAAUUACUGGGCGUAAAGCGCACGUAGGCGGCUUUGUAAGUUAGAGGUGAAAGCCCGGGGCUCAACUCCGGAACUGGCCUUUAAGACUGCAUCGCUUGAAUCCAGGAGAGGUGAGUGGAAUUCCGGAGUGUAGAGGUGAAAUUCGUAGAUAUUGGGAAGAACACCGGUGGCGAAGGCGGC
rnacentral:rRNA from 1 species